rnacentral:rRNA from 1 species
UGGGGAAUUUUGGACAAUGGACGCAAGUCUGAUCCAGCCAUGCCGCGUGCGGGAAGAAGGCCUUCGGGUUGUAAACCGCUUUUGUCAGGGAAGAAACGAGUUUCUCUAAUACAGAGACUUAAUGACGGUACCUGAAGAAUAAGCACCGGCUAACUACGUGCCAGCAGCCGCGGUAAUACGGAGGGUGCAAGCGUUAAUCGGAAUUACUGGGCGUAAAGCGCACGCAGGCGGUCUGUCAAGUCGGAUGUGAAAUCCCCGGGCUCAACCUGGGAACUGCAUUUGUGACUGCAUGGCUAGAGUACGGUAGAGGGGGAUGGAAUACCGCGUGUAGCAGUGAAAUGCGUAGAUAUGCGGAGGAACACCGAUGGCGAAGGCAAUCCCCUGGACCUGUACUGACGCUCAUGCACGAAAGCGUGGGGAGCAAACA